rnacentral:lncRNA from 1 species
AUCCAGACAGGAUCCUGUCACACAGCCCAGCCUGCCCACUUCUCACCAUAAGAAGAGAAAAUCCAGCUUGUGCUCAGACUUCACACUGCUUAUUUAUCAGUUGGGCCAAAGAGCCUUCCUCUAGACCUCCUGCUUUUCCUAGGGAGUCUACUGUCAUAGCUACAGGGACUGUCCGUAUUACUUUAUUUCUAAUGUAGAACCGGGCAGGGUGGAGGCGUCUAGGAGGCCAAUAGAUGGCAUCUGGAAUAAGCUGUGAACUUGGGCAUAAGAACCAGUCUGGCCUCUGCUGGGCCUCAAACUCACUGACUGGACAGGGAGAAUGGGGCCUGUUCUUUGACCUGGAGGGUAAGGGUAUGGUGGAGCACUGGCUAGACAGUGGCAUCUAGCCAACACCUAGAAUAAGUUCCCUGCCCCGUGGUCCCUCACGAAGACUAGGCUACUUGCUCUUGUGACUGAGACAGCCUUCUAAUGGCUUUUGAUUUCCUGAAGCCUUAAUCUGAAGUCAGAAACAAGUUUAGUAAUUAAACGUCCCUGGGUGUGGUGGUUCACACCUGUGAAGGAGGGGAUCCCUACAAAUUCGAGACCAGCCUCAUUUACAGAGCAAGUUGUAGGCCAGCUAGGAUCACAUAGGGUUGAUCCUGGGUCAGAAAACCAAAACCAAAAAAAAAAAAAAAAAA